UACGAAGGGUGCAAGCGUUACUCGGAAUUACUGGGCGUAAAGCGUGCGUAGGUGGUGAGUUAAGUCUGUCGUGAAAGCCCCGGGCUCAACCUGGGAAUGGCGAUGGAUACUGGCUCGCUAGAGUGCGGUAGAGGAGAGUGGAAUUCCCGGUGUAGCAGUGAAAUGCGUAGAGAUCGGGAGGAACAUCAGUUGCGAAGGCGGCUCUCUGGACCAGCACUGACACUGAGGCACGAAAGCCGGGGGAGCAAACAGG
rnacentral:rRNA from 1 species